UACGUAGGGUGCGAGCGUUGUCCGGAAUUAUUGGGCGUAAAGAGCUCGUAGGCGGCUUGUCACGUCGGGUGUGAAAGCCCGGGGCUUAACCCCGGGUCUGCAUUCGAUACGGGCUAGCUAGAGUGUGGUAGGGGAGAUCGGAAUUCCUGGUGUAGCGGUGAAAUGCGCAGAUAUCAGGAGGAACACCGGUGGCGAAGGCGGAUCUCUGGGCCGAUACUGACGCUGAGGAGCGAAAGCGUGGGGAGCGAACAGG
rnacentral:rRNA from 1 species